CCUACGGGAGGCAGCAGUGGGGAAUUUUGGACAAUGGGCGAAAGCCUGAUCCAGCCAUGCCGCGUGAGUGAAGAAGGCCUUCGGGUUGUAAAGCUCUUUCAGCCGGAAAGAAAUCGCGCAGGAUAAUACUCUGCGUGGAUGACGGUACCGGAAGAAGAAGCACCGGCUAACUACGUGCCAGCAGCCGCGGUAAUACGUAGGGUGCGAGCGUUAAUCGGAAUUACUGGGCGUAAAGCGUGCGCAGGCGGUUAUGUAAGACAGAUGUGAAAUCCCCGGGCUCAACCUGGGAACUGCGUUUGUGACUGCAUAACUAGAGUACGGCAGAGGGAGGUGGAAUUCCGCGUGUAGCAGUGAAAUGCGUAGAUAUGCGGAGGAACACCGAUGGCGAAGGCAGCCUCCUGGGCCAGUACUGACGCUCAUGCACGAAAGCGUGGGGAGCAAACAGGAUUAGAUACCCUGGUAGUCCACGCCCUAAACGAUGUCAACUAGUUGUUCGGUGAGGAGACUCAUUGAGUAACGCAGCUAACGCGUGAAGUUGACCGCCUGGGGAGUACGGCCGCAAGGUUAAAACUCAAAUGAAUUGACGG
rnacentral:rRNA from 1 species